GCCCAGACUCCUACGGGAGGCAGCAGUGGGGAAUAUUGCACAAUGGGGGAAACCCUGAUGCAGCGACGCCGCGUGAGCGAUGAAGUAUUUCGGUAUGUAAAGCUCUAUCAGCAGGGAAGAAGAUGACGGUACCUGACUAAGAAGCCCCGGCUAACUGCGUGCCAGCAGCCGCGGUAAUACGUAGGGGGCAAGCGUUAUCCGGAUUUACUGGGUGUAAAGGGAGCGUAGACGGCGAUGCAAGCCAGAUGUGAAAGCCCGGGGCUCAACCCCGGGACUGCAUUUGGAACUGUGUGGCUGGAGUGUCGGAGAGGCAGGCGGAAUUCCUAGUGUAGCGGUGAAAUGCGUAGAUAUUAGGAGGAACACCAGUGGCGAAGGCGGCCUGCUGGACGAUGACUGACGUUGAGGCUCGAAAGCGUGGGGAGCAAACAGGAUUAGAUACCCGAGUA
rnacentral:rRNA from 1 species